CGCGGGGUGGAGCAGCUGGUAGCUCGUCUGGCUCACAACCCGAAGGGCGCGGGUUCAAAUCCCGCCCCCGCCACAA
rnacentral:tRNA from 1 species